AUACGGAGGAUGCGAGCGUUAUCCGGAUUUAUUGGGUUUAAAGGGAGCGUAGGUGGGAUAUUAAGUCAGCUGUGAAAGUUUGGGGCUCAACCUUAAAAUUGCAGUUGAUACUGGUUUCCUUGAGUACGGUACAGGUGGGCGGAAUUCGUGGUGUAGCGGUGAAAUGCUUAGAUAUCACGAAGAACUCCGAUCGCGAAGGCAGCUCACCGGGCCGGAACUGACACUGAUGCUCGAAAGUGCGGGUAUCAAACAGGAUUAGAUACCCUGGUAGUCCACACAGUAAACGAUGAAUACUCGCUGUUUGCGAUAUACAGCAAGCGGCCAAGCGAAAGCAUUAAGUAUUCCACCUGGGGAGUACGCCGGCAACGGUGAAACUCAAAGGAACUGACGGG
rnacentral:rRNA from 1 species